rnacentral:rRNA from 1 species
UACGAAGGGGGCUAGCGUUGCUCGGAAUCACUGGGCGUAAAGGGCGCGUAGGCGGCCAUUUAAGUCAGGGGUGAAAUCCUGGAGCUCAACUCCAGAACUGCCUUUGAUACUGAGGAUCUUGAGUACGGGAGAGGUGAGUGGAACUGCGAGUGUAGAGGUGAAAUUCGUAGAUAUUCGCAAGAACACCAGUGGCGAAGGCGGCUCACUGGCCCGUAACUGACGCUGAGGCACGAAAGCGUGGGGAGCAAACAGG